rnacentral:pre_miRNA from 1 species
CUCCUACUCCCUCCGUUCGGAGUUACUUGUCGCAAAAAUGGAUGUAUCUAGAUGUAUUUUAGUUCUAGAUACAUCCAUUUUCAAGACAAGUAAUUCCGAACGGAGGGAGUACUUC